CUACGGGGGGCUGCAGUAAGGAAUAUUGCACAAUGGGGGGAACCCUGGUGCAGCAACGCCGCGUGGAGGAUGACGCAUUUCGGUGUGUAAACUCCUUUUAUAUGUCAAGAAAAUGACGGUAGCAUAUGAAUAAGCACCGGCUAACUCCGUGCCAGCAGCCGCGGUAAUACGGAGGGUGCAAGCGUUACUCGGAAUCACUGGGCGUAAAGGACGCGUAGGCGGGUUGGAAAGUCAGGUGUGAAAUCCUACAGCUUAACUGUAGAACUGCACUUGAAACUUCUAAUCUAGAGUAUGGGAGGGGGAGAUGGAAUUAGUGGUGUAGGGGUAAAAUCCGUAGAUAUCACUAGGAAUACCUAAAGCGAAGGCGAUCUCCUGGAACAUUACUGACGCUAAGGCGUGAAAGCGUGGGGAGCAAACAGGAUUAGAUACCCCGGUAGUC
rnacentral:rRNA from 1 species